rnacentral:tRNA from 1 species
GUUAGCGUGGCCAAGCGGUCUAAGGCGCCAGACUCAAAGUUACCUUGCUCUGUAUCAGAGUAUGAGUGUUCUGGUCUACGAAUGUGGGUUCAAAUCCCACUUCUGACA